CUCCUCCUUUCACGUGCACAGCGACCUGGCAGCUGCUGUCCCGGGGAGCACCAUUCUGCAAAGGGACUGGCUGAGCUGAGCUGAGGGAAUGGAAACCUUCUGGGUAAAUCCCCAUUUAUCCACACUACAAUUGCUACAGAAAUAAUUCAGAGGAAAUUAGAGCCACACUAUGACAAAGGAAUUGCAGCAGGUGUCUUUCACAGAGGGAACACAAUUGUGAAGCUUGCUGGCAUCCUGCUCGCUCAGUCUCUCCAGCAUUGGCAGCUGGGUGAGGGGCUGCUGUCAGAGGAAAGGCUUUAGCCCAGCUGUGGCUGGAUGUGUCCACAGCAAAGGAAGCAGCAACAAAGCAUGCUGGAUUGGUCUGGAGUCCCUGUCCCAUGUCUGUCACCGUGUGCUGUCCCCUAUUCUACUGAGCACUCCUUAUCACAUUCCUCUUAAGAGGGCAUGGCCUGACACCACAGCGAGAUGGGCUGCUGUGAUACUGCAGACUUAGAGCAUGUGAAGAUCUGGAUGACUUUCAUCUUUGUAGCCAAUGUGCAAUUUCAAGAAAAGGGCACCCUGCCAUGGAUAUUGUACCUUUGUCACUAGCACUUAAAACCUGUGUUGAAGCAGAGAAAGCGCAAAAGUUGAAAUAAAAAAAUUCUCA